GCCAGUCGGACCGAGUGUGGCUUCACUCAGUGGCAGUGGGACACAGGGAGGGAGAAGAGGAAGUGCUGGGUACGGCUUGCUCCCAGAGUAGGAACUUGGAAACAGCUAGAGAAAAAAUAUAUAUAUAAUAAAUGGUGAAUAUUUAUAACAUUGCAGAGGUCCUUAGGGGUGAAGGAAUCUCACCAAAGACAGGAAGAAGGGCCAAAACUUUAUAGAAAUUAGAAAUCUUUUUGGAUGACAUUGCAUGAAGCUUGCUAUGUGAAUGGAUUGUUUAAAAGUCUAAGACAUGCCAAGCUUCAGCUGAAACUCAAGCCUCAUGCAGUUUUCUCUGCUUGGAAUGUUCUCUGCCCAGCCUUCACCUGCCCAGCUUCUUGUCCUACAGGUCUCAAGUCAAAUGCCUUCUUCUCAGUGAAGACUUCCCUGGCCACCUUGUCAACAUAAAUGUCAUCUGGUUAUUCUCUCUCCAGCCUGUGGCCUAUUUUUUCUAAAGAACUUUUCAGAAUCUCAUCCAUAUCUUGGUUUACUUGUUUGUAACCAGUGUCUCUCCUCCAGAAUGUAAGCUCCAGGAGAGCAGCACUUCCUCCUUGAUGUUAUUCCUGCUUCAAUCCUUAGCGUCUAGCCCAGUGCUUAAUACAGAUUUGUUGAAUAAAGAUCCAUUAAAGUGAAUUAUGGACUUAAUAAUGCCAUUCUUGCAUUGGGGAAAAAAAAUUGUGGAGUUGUAGUAAGGACAUGGAGAACCUGGACAUGGCCAUAGGAAAGUGUAAAAUGUUUGGUGAUAAUUAUACUUUUCCCCCUCAAAUGAGCCACAGACCUGAGAGUUAGGUAGGGAUGAACUGUUUUCCCAUGCUGGUAAAUAUGAAUUAG
rnacentral:lncRNA from 10 species